rnacentral:rRNA from 1 species
AUUGAACGCUGGCGGCAGGCUUAACACAUGCAAGUCGAGCGGGGUGAUGGUGCUUGCACUAUCACUUAGCGGCGGACGGGUGAGUAAUGCUUAGGAAUCUGCCUAUUAGUGGGGGACAACAUCUCGAAAGGGAUGCUAAUACCGCAUACGUCCUACGGGAGAAAGCAGGGGAUCACUUGGGACUUUGCGCUAAUAGAUGAGCCUAAGUCGGAUUAGCUAGUUGGUGGGGUAAAGGCCUACCAAGGCGACGAUCUGUAGCGGGUCUGAGAGGAUGAUCCGCCACACUGGGACUGAGACACGGCCCAGACUCCUACGGGAGGCAGCAGUGGAGAAUAUUGGACAAUGGGGGGAACCCUGAUCCAGCCAUGCCGCGUGUGUGAAGAAGGCCUUAUGGUUGUAAAGCACUUUAAGCGAGGAGGAGGCUCUUUUGGUUAAUACCCAAGAUGAGUGGACGUUACUCGCAGAAUAAGCACCGGCUAACUCUGUGCCAGCAGCCGCCGUAA